ACACAGGUCCCUGUAGCUGGAGCAGUACAACCGGAAGAGACUCCUGAUCUUCUGACUCCGAGUUCUUUAUGUUUGUACUGGAGAGACAGUAACCACAAGAUGGUUGUUUUCACCUUUACUUUUGCCUUUUUUUUUGGCACAGGUCUGAUAUUGAGGUUGUUUUCCAAUGAACACAUUCUUCUAUGAUCAUCUUUCUAUGACAGAUGCCAGGCGAGGUGCCAGAGCCUCAGCAUUGAGAAGUGGUCAACUUAAAAGUCGAUGUAAAGGGAUUAGUAACUGUGGAAAUCAUUACAAGAAAAGGAGGCAACCAGUGAAGCCAAAUCUCGAGGAGAGUAAAUCAGAAACUGUCUUUGGAACUGAUCCUGCUGAGUUGGAUGUUUUACUUCUUGAAUGUUUAUUUUCUCAAAUAAUAUAG
rnacentral:lncRNA from 1 species